rnacentral:rRNA from 1 species
AUUGAACGCUGGCGGCAGGCCUAACACAUGCAAGUCGAACGAGUGGCGGACGGGUGAGUAAUGCAUGGGAAUCUGCCUUAUGGAGGGGGAUAACUACGGGAAACUGUAGCUAAUACCGCGUACCAUAGGAUGAGCCCGAGUGGGAUUAGGUAGUUGGGGGGGUAAAGGCUCCCCAAGACGACGAUCUCUAGCUGGUCUGAGAGGAUGACCAGCCACACUGGGACUGAGACACGGCCCAGACUCCUACGGGAGGCAGCAGUGGGGAAUAUUGCGCAAUGGGGGCAACCUGACGCAGCCAUGCCGCGUGAAUGAAGAAGGCCUUCGGGUUGUAAAGUUCUUUCGGUAGGGAGGCGUUAACUACAGAAGAAGCACCGGCUAACUCCGUGCCAGCAGCCGCGGUAAUUC